GACGAACCGUACGAACGUUAUUCGGAAUCACUGGGCGUAAAGCGCGCGUAGGCGGCUUUGUAAGUUGGGAGUGAAAUCCCGGGGCUUAACUCCGGAAUUGCUUUCAAAACUACAAAGCUAGAGUAUGGCAGGGGACAGUGGAAUUCCUAGUGUAGAGGUGAAAUUCGUAGAUAUUAGGAGGAACACCAGUGGCGAAAGCGACUGUCUGGACCAUUACUGACGCUGAGGCGCGAAAGCGUGGGGAGCAAACAGG
rnacentral:rRNA from 1 species